ACUCAAAUGAAUUGACGGGGGCUCACACAAGCGGUGGAGGAUGUGGUUUAAUUCGAAGCAACGCGAAGAACCUUACCAGGUCUUGACAUACCGGGAUUAGUUCCGUGAAAGCGGGAUGAUUGCCCUCAAAGCGUAACCGGAACAGGUGCUGCAUGGCUGUCGUCAGCUCGUGCCGUGAGGUGUUAGGUUAAGUCCUUUAACGAGCGAAACCCCUGCGGUUAGUUACCAACGCGUCAUGGCGGGGACUCUAGCCGGACUGCCGCGAAAGUAGGAGGAAGGUGGGGACGACGUCAAGUCAUCAUGGCCUUUAUGACCUGGGCUACACACGUCCUACAAUGGGCGGUACAACGGGUAGCGACACCGCAAGGUGGAGCCAAUCUUUCAAAACCGUCCUCAGUUCAGAUUGUGGGCUGCAAUUCGCCCACAUGAAGCUGGAAUCGCUAGUAAUCGCGGAUCAGCUACGCCGCGGUGAAUAUGUUCCUGAGCCUUGCACACACCGCCCGU
rnacentral:rRNA from 1 species